AUAUAUGGCGGAAACUUUCUGAACAAACUGAGUAAUCAGGGAGAUAAGCAGGAGGCAGGAUAGAUCAUUCAGGACCUAAAAGGCCCUGGCAGAGCUUUAAGGUUUUAUUUUGAGUGCAAUGAAAGGAAUUAAGCAGUGCAUGACGCCAAAUAGUGUGUAUAUUGAUCACUUGGCACAGGGACUGACAUAUGGUAAGUACUUAAUAUUAAUUAUGGUUAUUAGCCCCUCUUAUUAGGAACUUAUUUCAGUUCCUACUCCUCUCUCGGUCUGAGAUUUUGAUGAAAAAUCUUAAUUUAGUUGUGCAGGUUGCUAAAUGGCUACAUCUGUUGGAUUUGAUCUUGCAAAGUUUGUCGUGUGAAAGGGCACCGUUUAGGAAAGAAUGAGAUACUGAAAUUUAGAGUGGAGAUAUGUGGUUGGAACCAGAUGAAUCUGACAAGCUUGAGCCCCCCACCCAAGUCACUCUGAGCCUUCUUUGCCUCUAGAAGUAAUUUGCCUUCUUGUAUCCAAGGAAACUAGCCUCCCUGUGCUUCCUGAAGUUUGCGUGGUUAACCCAUCUGGGGUAGGUGCUUUGAAGAGGAAUACUCCUGUUUCUCAAAACCCAUCGAAACCACUCACUUUUCACUAGAUAGAUAAUGAGGGUAAAAUCUCAGCAUACUCCAGGGGGCAGGUAGACACUGUGACCUCAGAGAAAAUUGCUUACACACCAAAAGAAUUGAAAGACUGCUAAUAUAUAAUCAGCAUACCUUGGAAAUGUAUAGGGUAGGAAAUUUUAAGUGUGUCAGAUUAAGGAGGGAAAACUGUAACACUAGAUUAGGCAGAAUUCACCAAUAGGAAUGCACUUACUAGGUUCCAGAUGGAAUGUGUUUGCUUGGAGAGCCAGAGGUGGCUUUCAUAGUUUAACUGGUUGGUUGACUGAAACAUGGACUCAGAGGUUUCUUGGCAUAAUUUGAUUAUCUUGGGAUGUCAGAGGUUUCCUGGCAUAAUAUGAAGAAGGGAGUCCAAAGCUUGAGAAAAUAAGAGUGUUACAGUGGAUUUAUGAUGUAUGACCUGCAUGCCUAACCCCCAAAUACAUCCCAUAAGAAUGCCUGGAAGGCACUACCUUAAUUAGGCAUUGAGGACUAUGUUAGUGGGAGAAGCACUUACAUUCUUUCUUUCUUUUUUUUUUUUUUUAAGUUUAUUUAUUUUGAGAAAGAGACAAAGCAUGAGUCCGGGAGAGGCAGAGAGAAUGAAGAGAGAGAAUCCCAAGCAAGCUCUGCGUUGUCAGCAUGGAGCCUGACGUGGGGCUUGAACCCAUGAACCGUGACAUCAUGACCUGAGCUGGAGUCAGAGGCUUAACUGACUGAGCCACCCAGGAGCCCCACACUUAAUAUUCUUGAAGAGGCUUGUGAUUGCUCUCUUUUGUAGGCUGGGUGUAGCUAUGGGUGAUAUUGCUUUUGAGGUGAUAUCCCUAGUUUAAAUGGAGGUAAUAAGAUCCCAGAUUAUUAGAGGCCAGAUGGCACCACUUUGACAUCAAAGACAAGGUGGGCACGUUUACUGUAAGAGGUAACAUGUACCAGUGAUCAGAAUGCCUUGGCCUUCAGGAAUCUUUUACUAUGGCUAGUUGACUGUAAUAUCCCUAGGAAUGAAAUAACCUACUAGAGUAUUGCUUGUGUUAUAUAACAGAAAAAACUCUAGAUUUGGUACCCAAAAUCCUAACUUGAUUUGCUAUAGGAGAAUACAGCCUCUUACCCAAUACUAGACACAAAUCAAUUCACAAACAGAGCCCCUUGACUCAAGGGGAGUCUAGGUAACCUUAGGUGGAAUCUUGAAGCAUUCACAUGAGUAUAUACCAUAAGUCUUCCUCCAAACUUUCCCCUGUGGAGCCUGCAACUGUUAUUAGAAUGGGAAUUAUGAAAAAGGAAAUACCCAGAUCUUUGGAGAAUUAUUAGACACUGGCUUCAGAUUGACACUAAUUCAUCGGAGCUCAAAAUGCCACUGUGGACCAUCAGUAAAAAUGGAGCUGUACUGGUAAUCCUGAGUACUAUAUACUUGAUGCAGUGAUUUUCUAGGACAACUCACCAGACUCAGUAUAUAGUCAUACACCUAUAGCUGAGAUUUAUUACAGGAAAAUGACACAAAGCAAAAUCAGCAAAGUGACUUGCAUGGGACAAAGUCUAAAGGAAAAUAGUAACGAACCUCCAAGUGUCCUAUCCCAGUGGAGUCACACAGGAUAUAAUUAAUUUCUCCAGCUAUGAGUUAUGACAUGUAUGAAAUGUUUACCAGGGGAGAUCGUUAGAGACUUAGUGCCCAUCUGUCACCUAACUACCCUAACUACUGUGCAGAGAAGAGUUAACAUAGCAGGCCUGUUAUCCUUUGAAAGGUCUGCUUAAAAUGUUGUCCCUUGGGACAGCUGCAUGCAGAAGAAUGAGACAGGAUCAUUUUCUUACACUACAUACAAAAAUAAACUCAAAAUGGAUUAAGGAUCUAAAUGUGAGACAUGAAACCAUAAAAACCCUAGAAGAAAGAGUCCAUGACAAAGUAGCAAGAGUUGCAGAGAUGGAGGCUAUGCACAGGCUCAGUAGCAUGGUUUUACUCUUCGAUGCAUCUUCAAUGCCUGAUAUGCCAACAGCAAAGACCAACAUUUAAUUCCCGCUAUGCUACCAUUCCCUGGGGGAUCAGUCUGCUGUAAGAUUGACCGUUAUCAGAACUCUCUUAUCAUGGAAGGUGCAGAUAUUGAUCCUUAGUGGAAUAAACUGAUAUUCUACGUACGUAUUUGCCUUCUCUGUUCAUGAUGCUUCUGACAACACCACUGUCCAUGGCCUCACAGCAUAUCUUCUCUUCCUUUGUGGUAUUUCACAUAGUAUUGCUACUGAUCAGUGUACUUGUUUCACUACCAAGGAAGUAAAGCAAUGGGGUCAUCCUUAUUGAAUUCACUGAUCUUAGCACAUAUCACAUCGCCAAGAGGCUGGCCUAAUUGAAUAAAUAAUGUCUUAUUGAAGGUUCAAUUACAGUGUUAGAUACCCUAAAAGAGUGGAGUUCUGUCUUAAAGCAUAUAGUAUAUGCUUUGAAUUAGAGACCAUUAUAUGGUGCUGUCUCCCCCAUAUCCAGAAGACAUAGUUUAGGAAUCAAAUUGUGAAAGUGGGAAUAACUCCUCUCACUUGCACCUAGUAACUCACUUAGUCCAUUAGUGCCAUGUCAGCUACUUUGAACCCUGUGUUUUGAGGUCUUUGAUCCUAAGAGGGCAAUGCUUUCACUAUGGGACCUCACAAAGGUUCUGUUGAAUUAGAAGAUGAGACCACCACCUGUCCACUUUGGCCUUAUGCCACUAACCCAGGAAGAAGAAGGGGUUAUUCUACUGGCUAGAGUGAUUGACCGAUUCUGAUUACCAAGGAGAAAUUGGGUUUUUGUACAAUGUCAUGAAGAAAGACUGUAUGUAGAAAACCACACAACAUACAAAAAUAGAACUAUUACAGAAUCAGACCCUUCACUGAUGAAGACUUGCAUCAUUCCAUGAGGUGAAUAACUCUGACCAGUUGAUGUUUUAGCAGAGGGCGAGUGAAAUUCAGCUCAGUCCAUGGUCUCAUGGUUCAUAGAAUCGAGCCCUGUGUUAGACUUUACGCUGACAGUGUGGAGCCUGCUCGGGAUUCUCUCUCUUCUCUCUCUCUCUGCCCCUUCCCCACUUGUGCCCUCCCUCUCUCUCAAAAUAAGUAAACUUUAAAAAAUAUUUUCAAAGUUAAAAAAAAAAGAUAUAGGACACAAAGAAGAAAGUCAUAGAUAUCAUAUCAACUAUGACCUUAUGUCCAGUUACAGAUGUGAGGACUGUUAUGAUUAUUUGUAUAUGCUAUCCUUCUGUCUUCUUCUUCCAAGGAUAAUUAUAUAUGUGAGUGAUGGAGGUUAACCUUGCAAUUUAGUCUUUAGGUAGCAUAAUAUUCAAUGUGAUUGUGACUAAAAUUGGGGAGCAAUUAAUAUAGUCAGUAAUAGAUAUAGUGAAUAUUGAGACUGUGUCCUUUUUGUUAGGUGGAAAAUCAUAUGGAAACUGAUAUAUGAAUGGAAGGAUGUAUUUGGACAAAGGAUGGACAAAAUUAUUGGUUGAUCUCAGUUCCAAACCCAAAUAUACAUAUAAUUGUCCUGCUCUGUGAUACUAGAGCAGAACCCUGUCAAAAUUUCUCCUUUACUAGAUGGUCUAAUGUUAAUCUUUUUUAGUAGAAGGUGCUGAGGGACUAAUGUGCUUUUCUCUCUUCUUGUUCCUGUGGUAUGUGGCAGCCAAAGAGUAUGAAAUACCUACUGGUGCUUAGCCCCAGCAAGUUUCAGUGCCACCCAAUGCAAGCAGCAAAUUCCACUGACAUCCCAGCUGGUUUCCAGGUGAACUUCCCAGGUGCCAUAGCAAGUAAUUUCCUAGCCAUUUCCACGGACACACUGGCUGGUGGCUUCCCAGUGAGUUUCAUCAGUGUGUCAACCAAGGGCAAUAGAACUUAAAGGACUUGGCUGAGCAAAACAUGAAGAGAAGUCUGUGCAGCCCUCCAUGCAGAAACCACCAGCGCCUUUAACAGUGCUGCAGACAGUGGCCUCUCCCUGGACAGCUUCUGACUGUAUUUUCACACCAAUGCAACACCAGCUAUUUCUCCUCUUUGACACUUGGUAGCACAAAGGUCACAUGGAUGUGUCUCCCCACCCUGCACUCUCUUACUCCUGGAUUGGAUUGUCUUUCCUUUGGGGCACAGAACUGGCUUGCAGACGCUGAGCCCAUUUGAGCCUCUUGCUUUGGGAAAGUCAUCUGAAGUGGGAAUGAAAAGACCAUCUUCAUUUUUACUGAGAAAGAAGACCAGUGGCCAAGGUGUGGAAGGGCAAGGCAACACACCCCAGAGCCAAGACAAACAUGUCUUUCUCUAUAUGAAGAUUCAAAUCAUGGCACACAAGAUUCAUGGAAAGCACUUUCACAACUGAGGGACAGGAGAAGGGAAACUUUUUAUUCACAGGUUUCUGGCAUGUGGAGUGUAGCAUGUACCCUCAAGAGAGAAUUGCAAGGAAACAAAGGGAUGAGUAAAUGCAAGACGAAUCUACUCCUAGUGAAGAUACUGUGAAGAUGGUUGAAAUGACAACAAAGGACUUAGAAUAUCACAUAAAAUUAGUUGAUAAAGCAACAGCCGCAGUUUGAGAAGCUGGAUUCCAGUUUUGAAAGAAGUUCUACUCUGGAUGAAAUACUAUCAAAUAGCAUCGCCUGCUACAGAGAAAUCACUUGUGACAGGAAGAAUCAAUCCCAGUGGCAAACUUUAUUGUUGUCUUAUUUUAAGAAAUUGCCUUCAGCAAACCACCCUGAUCAGUCAGCAGCCAUCAACAUGGGGACAAGACCCUCCAACUUACUUAAAAGAUAACCACGAUGUGAAAUCCCAGAUAAUGAUCAGCAUAUGUCAGCAUAUUUUUUUAAUGUUUUAUUUAUUUUUGAGAGAGUGUGAGCAGGGGAGGGGGAAAGAGCAAGAGAGGGGCAAAGGAUCUGAAGCGGGGCUGGAACUCGCCAACUGUGAGUUCAUGACCUGAGCUGAAGUCAAAUGCUCAACCAACUGAGCCACCUAAGCACCCUGCAAUGAAGUAUCUUUUAAUUAAGGUAUGUACAUUGUAUUUUUAGACAUGAUGCUCUUGUGCAGUUACAAGACCACAGUAUAGUGUAACAUGCCUUUAUACGAACUGGGAAACCAAAAAGUUCAUUUGGCUUGCUUUAUUAUGUUAUUUGUUCAUUUCAUUGCCAUGGUCUAGAACCAAACUCACAAUAUCUCUGAAGUAGGCCCAUAUUUCUUUACAAAUUUGUUUACCAUUUUUAGGUCCUGGGUAUUGUCAUUCUUGAAUAUUUUUAAGCUAAAGUGAACCAGAAUUACUUUUGUUUUCAAAAUCCUUAGUUUAAUUAGAUAUUUUGAGAUAAUUAAGAGUAUUACAGUAUCAGGAUUAGAAAUUAUGACCUUAGAAAAAAGAAUGUUUGCUCAUUAUCACGACUUGAGAUUUCUGCUAAGUUUCAGUGUAUUUACCAAUUGAAAAAAAAACACAGUUAACUUAAAAAAAAAAAGACAUUGGAUCAAAAUAGUGGAUCAAAGCCUUCCAUUGUUUAGUUGUCCAGUCUUUGGCUGUCAAGUUUUAUUUAACUUGUAAAAAACAAGAAGGAAACUUACCACCCUAACUUGGAGUGCUAAUGAUCUUCCUAUACUCUAGAUUUUAGAAGGUUGAUUUUUAAACUUUUUUUUAAUUAAAAAAAUUAAAAAGGUUUUUGUCAAUUUCUUUAAGUGACAAAAGACUCUAAAAGGAAAGUUAUUUCCACAAAGUCAGGAGGCUCUCCAAAUGAAAUUGUGACAGUAGAAUGAUCAGGAUGAGAGGAAAAAGGCAGGGAUGACCAAAGAGUUCAGGGAGCUUUUCGAAUGGAACAAUAAAACCAGACCAGCUUUCUUGGCUGGGGCAGUUACAUCAUGUUUUCUAAUAUCUGAUUUCACAAAGUGUCUAUGUUUGUUUCCUUGUUUAUUCUUUAUGUUGUUCUCAAAAGUACUUGAAGCAGCUUACAUAAACAUAUAUAAAAUGACAUGUUAAACAAGUGUGUGGGGGAGAGAAAGUCAGGGGCACACAGGAAGGAAACUAAGGAAGGCACCUUGGGAAGGGUGUGGGAAGCUGGGACAUCACCUUUGUACAUUUGUCUCUGAGCUUUCCAGGUACCCGGGUGGAGACAGAAGUACUCUUGGUGUAAUAAGAAUAUAAGCUCAUUGAGGUUAGAGAGCACAUUUUAUUCACUCCCAUCAUUCUGGGACACAGCAAUCUGCCUUAAAACAGGCAUUUGAUAAAUAUUUAUCAAAAGGAUACAAUUUAUAGUGUCUCUAAGAUUAAAAAUAACAGCAGUGGUCUAUGGAAACACAACUUCUUUCAGUAUUCAGAAAUUUCCUCCUGGUCUUCAUAAGAAGGCACUGUAGAUACAGGGGCUAACAUUCUUGAUAACAUUUUGAAGAAUAAUGGGGCAUAUUUUAUGGGGGGGGCUUUCAUUUAUUUGUUUAUUCAUUAUUAAUUUGUUCAUUGAGGAAACAUGUCUUGACCCAAGUUUUCCCAAGACGCAGGGAUUCAAAAAGUGCCCAUAGAAGACAAGAGUGUAAUUAAAUACGGGAAAGUGUUAUAGGUUGUACAAUACAGUCUUCUUGGAGAGUACUGCUAGUACUCAACACCCACAAGAACAUGUAACACAGAGUAGGGACUUGCUAUGUAUUUGUUGAGUGGAUUAAGGAAGAGUUCAUCAGACAGGUGGAAGAGAAGAGAGUUCUAAUCAGAAGGGAACAGGAUAGGCAAGGAUUUGGAAAAAUGCUGCAGGUGGCCUAGGGGAGAGAAUGAUGUAUAUGGGUGUGGGGAGGGCUAGGGGCACUUGCUGAGAGGUUAGUCUGUUGAAAUAAACCCGAGUCCUAUCUGGAAUGCUAGCAGAGGGAGUUUUAUCUUGUAUUAUGAUUUUUUU